ACAGUCACACAUUAGAUACCCCGGUAGUCCUGGCCGUAAACGAUGUGGACUUGGUGUUGGGAUGGCUCCGAGCUGCCCCAGUGCCGAAGGGAAGCUGUUAAGUCCACCGCCUGGGAAGUACGGUCGCAAGGCUGAAACUUAAAGGAAUUGGCGGGGGAGCACCGCAACGGGAGGAGCGUGCGGUUUAAUUGGAUUCAACACCGUAAACUCACCAGGGAAGACUGUUACAUGAAAGCCGAGAUGAAGACUCUGCUAGAUUUUUCAG
rnacentral:rRNA from 1 species